CCAACCCUCCGGAAAUGCUCAUUUAAUUUUCAGAUAUUUGCGCAUAAAACUUGCCAUGAAUUUAUUGCUUUUUAAAUAAAUAAACGAGCAAAUAAAGUGCAGAAAUCAAGGGGUUAGGAGGGGGCUAUGCUGCUUAGUUGUGGCGCAACUAAUUGAAAGUCACUCAAGUGUGAGAAGGACAGCGAACGGGGCGUAGAUAAAUAUUUAAUUAAAAUAUUUUGAAAACUGAAAAAUUGGACGGCAAUCGAAGCAGAUAACACGCACGUCACCAUGCCUGGCAUUCGUUUAGCAUUUUUCGCCAGGAAAAGCGAGCGGAAAAUGGGCGCAAAAUGAACGGAGCGUUCGUUACUCAUUCCCAAUGAUGCCCUCUGCACUUUGCAAUUUUGUUUUAAAGGGGCUAAAAAAUUCUGCGCAUGUUCCCUAUUCAAAACGAAAGCAAAAAACUAGAAAAACCGAAUGCAUUGGAUGAAUGAAAUUUUCCGGGGAGAAGGUUAGUGGAGCAGCAUUCAGCAUAGACCAAAAUGGCGGAGGAAAAUCGUGAAAAUCUAGCGGCGACCUAGCGAUGCACUUAACCUUGGACCUCAGUCGGCAAAUAAAAUGAAAUAUUUGUAAUAUAGGUAUAUUGCCUAUAUAUAUUUAUUUAAUAUGGAUCUUAGUUUAAUUGUCCUUUUAAAAAUUGUAUUGACGUUCAACCGUUGAUAGAUAGUUAUUUAGUGCAUAUAAAAAGCACAUAAAAAUUCAAA